rnacentral:rRNA from 1 species
UGGGGAAUUGUUCGCAAUGGGCGCAAGCCUGACGACGCAACGCCGCGUGGAGGAUGAAGACCUUCGGGUCGUAAACUCCUUUCGACCGAGAAGAAUGGCUCCCGACCUAAUACGUCGGGAGCAUGACGGUAUCGAGGGAAGAAGCCCCGGCUAACUCUGCGCCAGCAGCCGCGGUAAUACAGGGGGGGCAAGCGUUGUUCGGAAUUACUGGGCGUAAAGGGUUCGUAGGUGGCCAACUAAGUCAGACGUGAAAUCCCUCAGCUUAACUGGGGAACUGCGUCUGAUACUGGAUGGCUUGAGUGCAGGAGAGGAAUGCGGAAUUCCAGGUGUAGCGGUGAAAUGCGUAGAUAUCUGGAGGAACACCGGUGGCGAAGGCGGCAUUCUGGACUGCAACUGACACUGAGGAACGAAAGCCAGGGGAGCAAA